GAGCGGCGGGGCGGAGCCAAGUGAGCCAUCCACUCGGGCGGGAGGGGGAGUCCUCUGCUGUCGCUGCAGCCUGGAGGCGCCGGCCUAGCGGGGCACGUGGGGGCGGGUCGAAGAGACUGCGCGGAAGGAAGGAACAGGUGGACUAGGGGACGGGAAACGGCAGCCGGGCCAGCCUAGCCUCGGACGGGUAACCGCGCGGCCCCGCCUCAGGUCCCCUAGAGCCAGACGGACUCGGCUCCCUCCAGCUGAGGCCAGCGGAGAGAUUCCUGUCACGGCUUCCGUCCCAGCCGGCUCUUGCGGGAGCCCACGUUGUGCGUCCCGCGCGGACCCCGCGGCGGGUUUUACCGUUAACGGCCGGUGGCUGCAGCCCGCCGCGCCCGCCCCACCGAUCUGCUAGGUCUACACAAACUAAACUUUUAGAAGAUGAAUGAACUUAAAUUUAAAUAUCAAUACAUACCACCUGUGACUGUGCAUUUACCUGAGGAAAUCACCACUUCCAAGCUAUCUUCCUCCUCUGUGGAGGGCUUUGAAGCUCAAAUUGCAAGUCUAGUAGAAAUGUUUCUUGUAGAGGUAUACAGGUGUAAGCUUUGCCAAUUCACCAGCAGCAUAAAAAACAAAAUCAAGACACAUGUAUUUAACAUUCAUGAACAGGAUGGAUGCCACCCCAGUUCUGAAUGCCAAGAAAUUAGUACAGAUCCAGAUGAAAAUGAUUCCUAUAGUAUUGGAGAUGAAAUAAGUCAAGAAAACAAAGAGAAUGAAGAGAAUCUGGAGAAAAUGUCUUUCCUAUUGCCCAUGUACAGAAUGCUUCAUAACAUGAGUCCUGAAUGCUGUGAUAUGAACCUAGAUAAUCACAGUGUCAGUACCCAUGCACCCAAUGCAUGUGAUGUAAAUACACUAUUUGAAGAAGAAUCUGAACAAUUCCAUCUGGAGGAACCCUGUUCUAUGGUAUCUAAUCAACUUUCUGCCUAUUCAUCAGACCUCACAGAAUCUAAAAAAAGCAAGGAGGAUGAAGAAGCUCAGUCUGAACAUCUAAUGUCUCUUGGUUUGUGCCGUAUUUCUAGUGUGAAAUCUCUAGUCAUGGAACAAAAAGUGCCCAAACUAGGCACAAAACAGGAAAUGGGUAGAAGUCAGAAAAGAGAAAAAACUGACAAAAAUAACUUGUCUCAAGCAUUGAAAGAUAUUUAUUCACUAAAGAGCAGUGAUGAAAGACAUCUAUGCACCUCUUGUGACCGGAAGUUCAUGUCCAAAGAUGCCCUUGAAAUACAUGCUAAAUGUCAUAAUGGAAAUCAAGGAUUCCAAUGUCUUUACUGUAAUUUCAGUGUGACUGAGUGGAGUUUAAUGGAGAAACACUUAAAAUCUCAUAAGAAGGGGAAAAGGAGCUAUCGGUGUCUUACAUGUGAGAAAGUUUUUAUGACCCAAAGUGCCUGGAAAGUGCACAAAGAGAGUCACAAAAGGAGGCAAGGCAUUCUUCAGCAUCCGGAGAGCACAACCCUUUAUAAGACUGAGCUGGUAGAAAACCUCCCCUUGACCUGCCAUCAUGAAGAUAGCGAUUGGCCUAAGGUCCACAAACAUCUGAAUAGUUCCCAUGAGUAUAAAGCCAAACCACAUCCAUGUACUGAAUGUGAAAAAAAGUUCUUCAGAAUAACAGAUUUGAAGAAGCAUAUGUCCAAACACAAGAAAGCCAGGCCCUUUCUUUGUUCAUUAUGUGACCAGACAUUCAAAUACAGACGUCAGAUGAGCAGGCAUCAUAAGCAUGCACAUCAGAAACUGCAUAUAAAAGAGAGAAAAAAAAGAAAGAAAGCAGAGGUUAGCCUCAUUUAUUCAGGCACAGAAGCCACAGCCAGAACCAGGAAAAAUGCUGAUGAAUUUACCUGCAAAAUUUGCAACAGGAAAUGUUCCUCCAAAUUGGCCUUGCAGAGACAUAUGGGUAUACACGCUGGAGUUAAGCCCUUCCAUUGCCAGCACUGUGACUAUAAAACAAGACUGAAGGCUUCAUUGAUACAACACAUGCGGAUCCAUACUGAUGCUAAAAACAGCCAGAUGCUUCCUUAGGAUCAAAACUACACUGCAGUUUUCCACUGGCAGCCCACACUCCAGUUCCAUAAGCCUAAACAAAGGCCAUAGGUGUUGUUCCCAUUGCUUCCCAGGGGUGAAAAACCUUUUAAAUGUGAAAUUUGCUCAUAUGCCUCAAUCGAUGCCAGUUCCUUACGAAGACAUUUUAGGACUCACACAAGGGAGAGGCCCUACAAAUGUCAGCUUUGUUCAUAUAGUAGGUGACAUGAUGAAAAUAGUUCUUGUAUAGUUACUAGCACUAUGCUAAGUGCUAGGAAGACAGAAAGAAGAAAGUUUCUACUCUCAGAAAACAAGUGACCAUUUUUCAGGGAGGUAUUAUUAGUUUUAUGACUGGUAGUUUAAUAAAUUAUCAUUUGUUGAACUUUAGAGCUCUUGAUAGCACUAGGUCUAAUUCUUGAUUUUUACAUAUUUUGAAACCUACCCAUAAUGGUUAUGAUUUGCUAAUAGUUGUCACAGAAAUAUUUUUGCUCUAUAUGGUCUAUGGCCUUUUGUUUGUAAAUGUAUUAUGCUCCUCAGGGUACCUCUAAAGCAAUCAGAAAUGGUUUGAAUUUUUAAAAAUUAAAAUGUUAAAAAGUUGACAUUAAAAUUUUUAAACUCUUUGUACUACGCUUUAUUUUUCCCCGGAGCAACUGGAAACCUUUUCUAAUAUGUGGUAGUUGCAACACUUUGAGCUUGUACAAAGAAAUUUGGACUCCUUUAUCAUGAUUUUACUACUUGUACAAUGCUGUUGCUUAUACUAUCAUUGUCAACAGAAUUCAGUGACCAUUUAAUGUCAGGUUUAAAAAAGUUAGAAUUAGAGAAAACUGUUUCAUGAGUCAUGAUUUGAUUCACAGGUAUUUUCUAAAGAUUAGAUGUCAGCCAACAUGGGGUGCAGAGAAGACCAACAAAAUCACAAAUUUGCCUUUUAAGCUUACUUAAGUUUUAGAAACUAAUUUAAGGGAUACUUUAUGCCCUUCCCAGUAUUUAGUGUGUGGAUGUGCUAAAUAAUAAUAUUGGUUAUUUGUUAAAAAAUACAGGACUUACAGAGUUUGUAUAUAUUUGGUGAAAUCCAAAUUUAAUAUGGUAUUUGACUUUCAAGUAAUUUGUAGUGUGUUUACUAAACAAACUUAGCAUAUUUGUUUGAUAGGUAUAAAAAGAUGAAAAUUUAUUAAUUUGCCAAGUUUUGGUUUAUUAGCGAGGAUAUGUGCAUUAUUUGGAGAGUAAUAGUUUUACUUUGAACCUAGAAAUUACACAGUAAUUGAAUAUUUACAGAAUUGCUGAACUUCUUUGUAUUGCAUAAGAUAAGGAGUGAGAUAGUUCUGCCCUACAGAAUUGAACUAAAUUAUAACAUCAUUUUAGUUUAUCUGACUGAACUAGUAAUUGGCUCUUGAGGAAUUUCUUGACAUAAAGUAUGCGUAUAACAUUCUGGUUCAGAUUACAAAAUUCUGAAGCUUUAAUCUUUAGCUUUUUCUAAGACUUUCAAAAGUCCCUUGUUUCACCACUCCCCAACUGACAAAUGGUCAAGGGACAUGAAUAGGCAGUUUUCAGAUUAAGAAAUCAAAACUAUCAAUGAGCACAUGAAAACAUGUUCUAAAUCCCUCCUAAUUAGAGAAAUGUACAUAAAAAAAAAAAAACUCUGAAGUACCACCUCAUACCUAGCAGAUUGGCCAAUAUGACAGUAAAGUAAAAUAAUAAGUGUUGGAAGGAUUGUGGCAAAAUUGGGACACUAAUGCAUUGCUGGUGGAGUUGUGAAUUAAUCCAACCAUUCUGGAAGGCAAUUUGGAAUUAUGCACAAAAGGCUUUAAAAGAAUGCCUACCCUUUGAUCCAGCAUUGCCACUACUUGGUUUGUACCCCUAAGAGAAAAUAAUGUUUGUACAAAAAUUCAUGGCUGCACUCUUUGUGGUUACAAAAAAUAUUGGAAAAAUGAGGGGAUAUCCCUCAGAUGGUGAAUGGUUGAACAAAUUGUGGGAUCUGAUGGUGAGGGAAUACUAUUGUCCUGAAAAGAGUGAUGAACUGGAGGAUUUCUAUAUGAAUUGGAAAGACCUCCAAGAAUUGAUGCAGAGUGAAAUGAGCAGAACCAAGAGAUCAUUGUACACAGAAACUGAAACAUUGUGGAACAAUCAAUUGUAAUUGACUUUGCUACUAAAAGCAAUGUAAUGAUCCAGGACAGCUGAGGGACUUAUGAGAAAGAAUGCUAUUCACGUUGAGAGAAAGAACUAUGGGAGUAGAAAUGCAAAAGAAAAACUUAUGACUUAUUACUCAUCACUUGUUUAUAUGGGUAUAUGAUUUGAGGUUUGGGCUUUAAAAGUUUGCCCUGUGGUAAAAACGAAUAAUGUGGAAAUAGGUAUCAAAUGAUAACAUUUGUACAACCCAGUGGAAUUGCUUGUCAGCCCUGGGAGAGAAAGAAAUGAAUCAUGUAAACAUGGAAAAACAUUAAAAAAAAUAAAAUGAAAAUGAAAAAAAAGUUCCUUAUUUCAGAAACAAACACUCUUGCCUCCAUUCUAAUAAAAUUUCAAAAUACUUAGCCAUUUUUUUUAA